rnacentral:rRNA from 1 species
UGUAGGCUGAAACUCGCCUACAUGAAGCUGGAGUUACUAGUAAUCGCGAAUCAGAAUGUCGCGGUGAAUACGUUCCCGGGUCUUGUACACACCGCCCGUCACACCAUGAGAGUUGGCAAUACCCGAAGUCCGUGAGCUAACCGCAAGGAGGCAGCGGCCGAAGGUAGGGUCAGCGAUUGGGGUGAAGUCGUAACAAGGUAGCCGUAGGAGAACCUGCGGCUGGAUCACCUCCUUUCUAAGGA